rnacentral:rRNA from 1 species
GUAGACCCGAAACCGUGCGACCUACCCAUGGCCAGGGUGAAGCCGGAGUAAGAUCUGGUGGAGGCCCGAACCACGUUGGCGUUGAAAAGCCAUGGGAUGAGCUGUGGGUAGAGGUGAAAUGCCAAUCGAGCACGGAGAUAGCUGGUUCUCCCCGAAAUAGCUUUAGGGCUAGCCUCAGGGUAGGACCUAUGGAGGUAGAGCACUGAAUGGGCUAGGGGCCAAGGAGGUUACCGAACCCUAUCAAACUCCGAAUGCCAUAGGUUAAUACCUGGGAGUCAGACUACGAGUGAUAAGAUCCGUAGUCGAGAGGGGAACAGCCCAGACCUCCAGCUAAGGUCCCAAAGGGCAUGUUAAGUGGUAAAGGAAGUGGGACUUCGAAGACAACCAGGAUGUUGGCUUAGAAGCAGCCAUACAUUUAAAGAGUGCGUAACAGCUCACUGGUCGAGAGGUCCUGCGCCGAAAAUGAACGGGGCUCAAACAUGCCACCGAAGCUGGGGCUAAACAGAAGUCAGAUGUGAGAGGUCAGAGGUGAGAAAAUGAUAAAGACGUAUAAGGAUCUCAGAAUAUAUCAACAAUCAUACAAGCUAAGCAUAGAGAUACACAAGCUAACCCAGAACUAUCCUGGGUAUGAAAGAUACGAAUUAGGGAGUCAACUAAGAAGGGCAGCAACAUCAAUACCGUUAAAUAUAGCCGAAGGAUAUGGAAAGAAAGAAUCAGAGGCAGAUUUUAAGAGGUAUUUAAAGAUAGCGCUUGGAUCAAGCAAUGAAAUAGAAGUAUUACUAGACUUAAGUUAUGACUUAGGAUAUAUAGAUAAGACAUUGCAUAACGAACUAAUAGAAGAAUACACAGCUUUAAGGAAGCAAAUAUACACGAUGAUAAAGAAGUGGAGAGUAUCCGACAUCUGACUUCCGACAUCUGACUUCUGUUUGGGGUAGGGGAGCGUACUGUACGGGUAGAAGGCCAAGCGGAAGCGAGGCUGGACUGUACAGUAGAGAGAAUGCCGGCAUGAGUAACGAGAGUAAGGUGAGAAACCUUACCGCCGGAAGCCUGAGGUUUCCUGGGGAAGGGUAAUCCACCCAGGGUAAGUCGGGGCCUAAGCCGAGGCUUAAAGCGUAGGCGAUGGGGAACCGGUAGAGAAUCCGGUACCACCGAGGGCCGCAAAGAGAUGCGGGGACGCAGCGAGAUAGGUGGAGCGUGCGGUUGGUAGGGCACGUCCAAUCAGGCACCGAAGGGUACGUAGGCAAAUCCGCGUACUGGCAGGGGUCUGAGAAGGGGAGCCGGAAGGCGAAGCCACCGAAGCAGCUGCCGAGAAAAGCCGCUAUCGAGGCCUGAGGUGCCCGUACUACAAACCGACACAGGUAGGCGAGGAGAGAAUCCACAGGCGAGCGGGAGAACCCUCAUUAAGGAACUCGGCAAAAUGACUCCGUAACUUCGGGAGAAGGAGUGCCGAAAGGCCGCAGAGAAGAGGCCCAAGCGACUGUUUACCAAAAACACAGGUCUCUGCUAAGUCGGAAGACGAAGUAUAGGGGCUGACGCCUGCCCGGUGCUGGAAGGUUAAGGGGAAGUGUGAGAGCACUGAACCGAAGCCCCAGUGAACGGCGGCCGUAACUAUAACGGUCCUAAGGUAGCGAAAUUCCUUGUCGGGUAAGUUCCGACCCGCACGAAAGGCGUAACGACUUGGGCGCUGUCUUGAUGAGGGGCCCGGUGAAAUUGUAGUACUCGUGAAGAUGCGAGUUACCCGCGAUUGGACAGAAAGACCCCGUGGAGCUUUACUGUAGCCUGUCACUGGAUUUUGGUAAUUCUUGUACAGGAUAGGUGGGAGACAGAGAAGGUAGGGCGCCAGCCUUACUGGAGUCGACGUUGGGAUACCACCCUGGGAUUACCGGAAUUCUAACCUAUAGCCGUGAAACCGGCGUAGGGACAAUGGCAGGUGGGCAGUUUGACUGGGGCGGUCGCCUCCUAAAGGGUAACGGAGGCGCCCAAAGGUUACCUCAGCGCGGACGGGAAUCGCGCGAAAGAGUGCAAAGGCAGAAGGUAGCCUGACUGCGAGAGAGACAUCUCGAGCAGGGACGAAAGUCGGGCUUAGUGAUCCGGCGGCAGUGAGUGGGAACGCCGUCGCUCAACGGAUAAAAGCUACCCCGGGGAUAACAGGCUGAUCUCCCCCAAGAGUCCACAUCGACGGGGAGGUUUGGCACCUCGAUGUCGGCUCAUCGCAUCCUGGGGCUGAAGUAGGUCCCAAGGGUUGGGCUGUUCGCCCAUUAAAGCGGUACGCGAGCUGGGUUCAGAACGUCGUGAGACAGUUCGGUCCCUAUCCGUCGCGGGCGUAGGAAACUUGAGAGGCACUGCCCCUAGUACGAGAGGACCGGGGUGGACGAACCGAUGGUGUACCAGUUGCACCGCCAGGUGCACAGCUGGGUAGCCAAGUUCGGAAGGGAUAAACGCUGAAAGCAUCUAAGCGUGAAGCCCGCCUCAAGAUUAGGUUUCCCAUCCGAGAGGGGUAAGACACCUCGAAGACCACGAGGUAGAUAGGCCGGGGGUGUAAGAGUGGAAACACUCUUAGCUGACCGGUACUAAUCAGUCGAGGACUUGACCG